UGGAGUGGGUGUGGCCUUGGAGGAUGUAUGUCACUGUGGGAAUGGGCUUAGCGGUCCUAUACUCAAGCUCCACCCAGUGUGGAAGGGAGAUCUUCCUCCUGGCUCAUUCAGAUCAAGAUGUAGAACGCUCAGCUCUUCCAGCAUCACGUCUGCCUGCAAACUGCCAUGCUUCUUGCCCUGAUGAUUAAGGGACUGAGCCUCUGAAACUGUAAGCCAGCUCCAAUUCAGUAAGAGUUGCUUUAGUCAUGCUGCCCCUUCCCAGCAGUAGAAACCCUAAAACAAGUUAUGAGAAUGUAAUGAAUCACCAGUGUUCUAAUCUAGUAACAAUGUGUCAGCAGCCAUUGAGGAUGUAAGGGUUUUUUUUUUUUUCUGUACAUUUAGUUUACCAACGUUUAUCUUGAAAAGCCUAAAGAAUCAAAUACACCAAGAACUAAAUAUUAGUUUGGUAAAAAGAUAACAAGAGAAACAGCAAAGAGGCUACACCCAACAAUCCAGAGAAAGUCAAGAUCUGGCAGACCAAGUCUAGCACUUUGCAUCUCUUUGAGCAGAAAUCCUGUCUCCUACUAAGGCUGAGGAAUGAUCGUGAGCCUUGGUUCCUUCUUCAUUCUCCACCGUUGGACACACACUCUCCACUGAGAGCGGCUGUCUGAGAUCAUUGCCGACCACGCCAACACGGACUCAGGUUCACAGCAUCAGUGUGAAAAACCGGGUUAAGAAAAUCCCAGGGAAUAAAUACAGAGCUAAUUAGAGAUUUUAAAUUAAUAUGCACAAACUGAAAUGAAUUUUCAAAGACAUUCUCCCUUUCUUUUUUUUUUUUUGCCAUAAUUUAAGCCUUUUUCUGAGGGGCCAGCAUGUACAGCCAACAGAAGAACUUGAGGACAGAAAAUAAUUAUUUUUUCUUUAAAAAAAAAUCACAAAAAAGGAGGCUGGAGGAUUGGUUCCGUGGUCAAGAGCAUAAUCUGACUGACUGCUCUCGGAGAGGAGCCAAGUACCGGUCCCAGCACCCGUGGUGAGCAUUGUCACAACUACCUACAACUCCAGCCGCAAGGGAACCGACCCCACACACGGCACACACCUCUACAGGCAGACCUUCAUCAGAACCAGUAUUUGGUAAGGGUUGGCGAGAUGAAUCAAUCUACCUCUGGAGCUCUGGGAACAGGAAGAGGAAUGGAAGGUGCAUUUGAAUAUCCUACUCCAGGUUUCUACCCUAAGCUUCUGGCUCAUUUGUGAGCUUUCACCAAGCCCCAGGAUACAGUGGUCCCCAAUUCCUAAAGAAGACAAAACUAUGAAUAUGACACCACACAUCUAAAACAAACUUUCAAGAAGAUUUUCCAAAAAUAAUGGCAGAUUUCAUGUAAACAUCUCCAUUAUGCAUUGCACAGGGAGACUGGUGAUUA